ensembl:lncRNA
AGCAGCUCCAGGCGAGCCGCUGGGAGUUAAGGAAAAGUUUGCGGUAGGGUUGACACCUGUUGUUUUUUGGGGUGGGCCACGGGUCACCACGAGUGCAAUCCUGGGUGCACGACUCGCCCCAAACUGAUCGCUCGCCUCCGCCACCAACCUGGAUUCUUGGGUGCGACCCCUCUCCCCAGAGUGUGCGCACACACUCACGCUCCUGAUGGCCUUGAUGCUGGUUGUGAAGAAUGAUGAUGUAAACUUCUGCAAUGGCCAGGAAGGAUCACCAGGUUUUCAGAACAAAUUCAGGAAUGGUGGCCAGUCUGAAUUUGAAAAGCCUCCAGGAUGGAGCUGUGGCCUUGGGGAGAGAUCAGAGGGGUUGAAAAUGCUGAUGUGGGAGAUGGAGGGAGGAGAGAGGAGGAAAAUAGACCAGAAAGGAAAGGACUGUAAGACUCAUCCCAGACAGAUUCUUAACUAGUGCUUUUCAGCAAGGUAGUGAGUUUCUUAAGGAUAGAUGCUGUGAAAGUACUGCACUCAAUAUGGCCAGCAAAUUUGGAAAACUCAGCAGUGGCCACAGGACUGGAAAAGGUCAGUUUUCAUUCUGAUCCCAAAGAAAGGCAAUGCCAAAGAAAGUUCAAACUACCACACAGUUGUGCUCAUCUCACACUCUAGCAAAGUAAUGCUCAAAAUUCUCCAAGCGAGGCUUCAACAGUAUGUGAACUGUGACCUUCCAGAUGUUCAAGCUGGAUUUAGAAAAGGCAGAGGAACUAGAAGUCAAAUUGCCAACAUCCGAUGGAUCAUUGAUAAAGCAAGAGAGUUCCAGAAAAACAUCUAUUUCUGUUUUAUUGACUUCACUAAAGCCUUUGACUGUGUGGAUCACAACAAACUGUGGAAAAUUCUUCAAGAGAUGAGAAUACCAGACCACCUUACCUGCCUCCUGAGAAGUCUGUAUGCAGGUCAGGAAGCAACAGUUAGAACUGGACAUGGAACAACAGACUGUUUCCAAAGAGGAAAAGGAGUAUGUCAAGGCUGUAUAUUGUCACCCUGCUUAUUUAACUUAUAUGCAGAGUACAUCAUGAGAAACGCUGGGCUGGAUGAAGCAUGAGCUGGAAACAAGGUUGCCAGGAGAAAUAUCAAUAGCCUCAGAUAUGCAGAUGACAUCACCCUUAUGGCAGAAAGCAAAGAACUAAAGAGCCUCUUGAUGAAAGUGAAAGAGGAGAGUGAGAAAGUUGGCUUAAAGCUCAACAUUCAGAAAUCUAAGAUCCUGGCACCUGGUCCCAUCACUUCAUGGCAAAUAGAUGGGGAAACAGUGAAAACAGUGGCAGACUUUAAUUUUGGGGAGCUCCAAAAUCACUGCAGAUGGUGACUGUGGCCAUGAAAUUAAAAGAUAGUUGCUCCUUGGAAGAAAAGUUAUGACCAAUCUAGACAGCAUAUUAAAAACCAGAGACAUUACUUUGCCAACAAUUGUCUGUCUAGUCAAAGCUAUGGUUUUUCCAGUGGUCAUAUAUGGAUGUGAGAGUUGGACUAUAAAGAAAGCUGUGCACUGAAGACUGAUGCUUUUGAACUGUGGUGUUGGAGAAGACUCUUGAGAGUCCCUUGGACUGCAAGGAGAUCCAACCAGUCAUCCUAAAGGAAAUCAGUCCUGAAUAUUCAUUGGAAGGACUGAUGCUGAAGCUAAAACUCCAAUACUCUAAUACUUUGGUCACCUGAUGUGAAGAAGUGACUCAUUGGAAAAGACCCUGAUGCUGGGAAAGAUUGAAGACAGGAGGAGAAGGGAAUGACAGAAGAUGAGAUGGUUGGAUGGCAUCACCGACUCAAUGGACAUGAGUUUGAGUAAACUCUGGGUGUUGGUGAUGGACAAGGAGGUCUGGCGUGCUGCAGUCCAUGGGGUAGCAAGGAGUCAGAUACGACUUAGCGACUGAACUGAACUAAGGAUAGAGACUGUAUCUUCCUCAAUUUUGUUUCACCAAACUAUGUGGUUAUACAAUGUCUGGGAAGUAGUAAGUGUUCAGUAAUCCUGAGUUUUCGGUAACACCUAGGACAUGAGAGAAGAAAACCUGGAUGGUGCAGAGAAGUUCAGACAACAUGAAAAGAAGAAGCAAGACUAGAGAAGACAGAUAAGCCCAAUAAUCCAAACACCCCAAGAAUUGAUGGUUGACCUGAUUGGUUGUGUCAAUCGAAACAAUUGAUUAUUUUGUCUUUAAAACAGAUUUCCCAGCCUUUCCAAAUUUGCGAUUUUUGGCAGUUGAAUUAUUAGCAAACUUUACUACCAUCACCUAAAAUCACAAGGAUUCCUUCUUCUUCUGUGUUCCAUGCUGACCUGUGUUCUUUUAAGUUAGGAUGUAGGAUUAAUGGUUAGAGCACUUUUUAAUCAGUCAUUAGUUUUUCUAAAGGCAGGUGGAGAUGUGGGCUUUUUAAAUUGGCAUCAUUUUGGUAAAAUGUUCAUUUUCUUAGUCUCUACUUAGAUUGUCUGUAUAGUGAUUUUGUAUUUGACUAAGCACCUUUAUAGAAAAUAAGAUAGGUGUUUUCCUUCAGGGUGUAAAUUUGCUGAAGUAUGAUAAGCUGUUACUUCAUCUUUUCCCUUAAAAAUCUCUUUUUUUUCUUGUUUCUAGUCAAGCAUUUAUUAAAUCAUUAGGAGAAAAAUUUAGGUCAUCUUUUUAAUGUGCAUUGACCUAGUUACAUUUUCUUUCUAAGCAGCUGUUUAAACUAGAUUUAUUGAGGAAAAUGGCUGGUUCAGUCUUGCAUUAAGUCAGAUAACACAGAAAAAUAAGGAAGAUUUGCAAAGUCCAAGUAAGCUAUGUGGCCCCUUUCUCCCCUUUGCUGUCUUUGAUUCUGCCCCUUUCCCUUAGAUACCAAGGUCUUAUUGGCUGUAUAUGAUUAACUGUUUCAUGUAGAUGGUCCCAUCAAGCAGUGUCUUCCUUUGAAAGCCUCUUAAUUCAUAUUAAAUGGUGAUGAUUCUAGAAUCAUCAUGUUGCUUGGAUCCUUCCCCAAAUUAAAGGACACAUUCACAAAGAGCUGUUUUAUGAAUAAUGAACAUAAACAACAGCCACACACAUUGCUCACUGGACAGUUUGAAAUUGCAUGUUUAAUGCCCUCAGUUGUUUCCUUGAGAGCUGUGUCUUCAGAAACAGAAAAUAGGAUCCUAGAGUGAGUUCAUUCUUAAUAAAUGAAAAUUCUGUAUUCCCUUUAUUUGACAGAAGAUUUCCUUUUGCUUUCACAUUAAUCACAGACUUCUAGAUGAUUAUGUAUGGAAUUCUCCAAAUUUUUUAGAAUAAUCCUGUUAGAAGUCUAAUGGGUCACAGAAUGUCUCUGUUCUAGAUGGAGUAGUUUUGAUGGAAUAUAAGCAAAUGGUCCCCUAUUCUAGUGCCAGCCUUACUGCAAAAUUAUGCCUGAAAUAUACAGAGAUUUUAGGAAAAUUUGACUUCAUUAACUAUCUUCCACUGUUUUUGUUUUUAUCCAGUUAAUUUGAAUUUCAGGGAACACUCAGCUGAAUAAAACAUUUCAUGUAAAUUUUGUUUGAUCUGGUUUACAUUUUUACUUCUAAUGAGGCACCGAUUCUUAAAGCAGCCAACUGGCACUAAUAAUCCAGCAGAAAGGCGAUGCUCCCUAAUACAGUCAACCCUCCCUGUUCUAGGGGAUUAUGCACUCCAAUAGCCUACUUUACUGUUUGUUAAAUAAACCUAUCUCCCUUAGUUAUGCAGUCUUUGAAAAUGGUUCUGAUUUUCUGUCAGUGCCUUGGGAGUGUAGAGCGGGGCUUGGAGGAAAGGCUUAAGAAUCUCCUGCCUUUCCUCUUUUAUGAAACAAAUUUGCUUUCUUCUCUCAGUGGCUGUGCUUUCCUCUGUCAUCCUGGUCCUAUUUCACCUCUCUGCCAUGAAUAGACCUGUGGUUUCUCUCUCUCUACGUUUUAAUCUUGCCGCUCUACCCCUGGAAAAGCCACAGUCCUCAUGCCUACCCUGGGAAAUCGUACUCAUGAACUUCAAGGCUCAGCUUGAGUGCCAUCUUCUGCUUGAGCCCUUUCCCAAACACCUCAGUCUCUUUCUCCCUCUGCACUUCUUCAGCAUCCUGGUUGGUACUGUGCCUGUUAUAGCCAUUACUCUCUUGCUGAUUACUAGGAUCAUUUGUGUAUAUCUUAUCUCCCCUACUAGGCUAUGAACUCCUGGAAAGUGGAAACUGUGUCCUUAUUUACUCUAGAAAACACAGUUCAAUGCCUGGUAGAAAAUAGGAGCUCAGUGAUUUUUGGAGUGCAUGCCUACAGAUAAUAUCUUAGGGAAUAUGCUCUCACAUUAGCCAAUUGCAUCCCCUCCAUUUUGCAUUGCUUUCUUUCACCCCAGUUUCCAGAAGUAGCAGGUCCCACAUGGAGGGGCAAGUCUUGGGCUCUCUCUCUCUCCUGUGUCUAUGUUAAGCUGGCCAGAGGCCUGCUAAUAAGGGUCCUGUUAAAAGGAAGCCACGUCUAGGACAUGAGACAAGAAAACACAGUUCAUUUUGAUCUCCUCAAUAUGCUGCUUGUUGGUUUCAGUGCCCAUCUCAUGGAAAUGAAAUAUUUAUUUUCCUAUUUUCCAUUUAAUACCUGGAUUUUAAAAAUGUGUUUAUAUAUGAGCAGAACAGAAAAGAAGAUGCUCCUUCUAUUUUUUUAAUGACAAUUUGACUGCAUUAGAGAGAGCUCAUCAUUUGAUUUCACAGAGGAAUACAUAUUUUAAUUACUAGACUGUGGAAUGUCCCCAAGCAAAAUUUUCUUACAAUCUCAUUAAAUAUAACUUCUUUAAGUUCUAAACUCUAGUUUGACUAACCAAAGGCAAUGUACUCAUGUAACUAUAAAAGUUUAAGACAUUCAGAAGAGCAGUAAAAAAAAAAAAAAAAACCAACUGAAAAUUCAAGCAAUUCAUCCAAAGCAGCAAGUGAUAAAUGCAAAAACUACUGCUGCCAAAAAUGUAACUGUAAGCAUAAAUCCAGAGGAAAAUGUGCAGGAACGAUGAAAUGUUUAAGAUACCUUUUAAUGGGAAAGUCUAUACACUAUAUACUACUGAGUCUGGGGUGAUUAAUGAUGUUGCAGAGAAAUUCUCAUAGCAUCCUUGGGCUUGACUCUGACGAAAACCAUUUUCAAUAACUCUUGAAGAUGUUUUUCAUGCCCAGUUCACUCAUGCAGAGGCUAGGACAGAGAGCAUUACUGCUAGAAAGAGAACUUCCAGGGCUUGGCAAGGGACUCAAGGCAAACUCAGGAUUAUAAAGCAGGAAGGCACAGUGUGUUGGUUCAUGUGUGAAGCAGAAAACCUUGGUAGAGAUUCGUUAGUAGAGAUCAUUCUACCAAGAUUUAAUGAAUAGAGUGUACUCGUGAGGGUACUUGGG